rnacentral:rRNA from 1 species
UACGAGGGGGGCAAGCGUUGUUCGGAAUUAUUGGGCGUAAAGGGCGCGUAGGCGGUGCGGUAAGUCGCCUGUGAAACCUCUGGGCUUAACUCAGAGCCUGCAGGCGAAACUGCCGUGCUGGAGUAUGGGAGAGGUGCGUGGAAUUCCCGGUGUAGCGGUGAAAUUCGUAGAUAUUCGGCGGAACACCAGUGGCGAAGGCGACUCACUGGCCCGAUACUGACGCUGAUGCGCGAAAGCGUGGGGAGCAAACAGG